rnacentral:rRNA from 1 species
GUCCACGCCCUAAACGAUGUCAACUGGUUGUUGGGGAAGGAAACUUCCUUAGUAACGAAGCUAACGCGUGAAGUUGACCGCCUGGGGAGUACGGCCGCAAGGUUAAAACUCAAAGGAAUUGACGGGGACCCGCACAAGCGGUGGAUGAUGUGGAUUAAUUCGAUGCAACGCGAAAAACCUUACCUACCCUUGACAUGCCAGGAAGCCCGAUGAGAGUUGGGUGUGCCCGAAAGGGAGCCUGGACACAGGUGCUGCAUGGCUGUCGU